ACACGACUACAUUAGAUACCCGCGUAGUCCUAGCCGUAAACGAUACUCGCUAGGUGUCGGCCACGGUGCGACCGUUGUCGGUGCCGUAGGGAAGCCGUGAAGCGAGCCACCUGGGAAGUACGGCCGCAAAGGCUGGAAACUUAAAGGAAUUGGCGGGGGAGCACAACAACGGGUGGAGCUUGCGGUUUAAUUGGAUUCAACGCCGGAAAUCUUACCGGGACCGACAGCAACAUGAAGGCCAAGCUGAAGACUUUGCCGGAUUAGCUG
rnacentral:rRNA from 1 species